AGUCGAGAAUUUUUCUCAAUGGGGGAAACCCUGAAGGAGCGACGCCGCGUGGAGGAUGAAGGUCUUCGGGUUGUAAACUCCUGUCAUUUGGGAACAAGGCUCCGAAGAGUAACUGUUUCGGAGUUGAUAGUACCAGAAGAGGAAGAGACGGCUAACUCUGUGCCAGCAGCCGCGGUAAUACAGAGGUCUCAAGCGUUGUUCGGAUUCAUUGGGCGUAAAGGGUGCGUAGGCGGCGCGGUAAGUCGGGUGUGAAAUUUCGAGGCUUAACUUCGAAACUGCAUUCGAUACUGCCGUGCUUGAGGACUGGAGAGGAGACUGGAAUUUACGGUGUAGCGGUGAAAUGCGUAGAUAUCGUAAGGAAGACCAGUGGCGAAGGCGGGUCUCUGGACAGUUCCUGACGCUGAGGCACGAAGGCCAGGGGAGCAAA
rnacentral:rRNA from 1 species